rnacentral:rRNA from 1 species
UACGGGGGGAGCAAACGUUGUUCGGAAUCACUGGGCGUAAAGGGCGUGUAGGCGGCUGGAUAAGUGGGAUGUUAAAUCCCCCGGCUCAACCGGGGACCUGCAUCUCAUACUGUUCAGCUCGAGCACAUCAGAGGAGACUGGAAUUCCCGGUGUAGCGGUGAAAUGCGCAGAUAUCGGGAAGAACACCCGUGGCUAAGGCGGCUCUCUAGUACGGUACUGACGCUGAGACGCGAAAGCGUGGGGAGCGAACAGG